rnacentral:rRNA from 1 species
ACUCCUACGGGAGGCAGCAGUGGGGAAUAUUGCACAAUGGGGGAAACCCUGAUGCAGCCAUGCCGCGUGUGUGAAGAAGGCCUUCGGGUUGUAAGCACUUUCAGUAGGGAGGAAGGUAGUGUAGUUAACACCUGCAUUAUUUGACGUUACCUACAGAAGAAGCACCGGCUAACUCCGUGCCAGCAGCCGCGGUAAUACGGAGGGUGCGAGCGUUAAUCGGAAUUACUGGGCGUAAAGCGCAUGCAGGCGGCCUGUUAAGUCAGAUGUGAAAGCCCGGGGCUUAACCUCGGAAUUGCAUUUGAAACUGGCAGGCUAGAGUCUUGUAGAGGGGGGUAGAAUUUCAGGUGUAGCGGUGAAAUGCGUAGAGAUCUGAAGGAAUACCAGUGGCGAAGGCGGCCCCCUGGACAAAGACUGACGCUCAGAUGCGAAAGCGUGGGGAGCAAACAGGAUUAGAUACCCUGGUAGGAUAGCG